rnacentral:rRNA from 1 species
AGCGAACGCUGGCGGCAGGCCUAACACAUGCAAGUCGAACGGAUCCUUCGGGAUUAGUGGCGGACGGGUGAGUAACACGUGGGAACGUGCCCUUUGGUUCGGAACAACUCAGGGAAACUUGAGCUAAUACCGGAUGUGCCCUUCGGGGGAAAGAUUUAUCGCCAUUGGAGCUGCCCGCGUCUGAUUAGCUAGUUGGUGAGGUAACGGCUCACCAAGGCGACGAUCAGUAGCUGGUCUGAGAGGAUGAUCAGCCACAUUGGGACUGGGACACGGCCCAAACUCCGACGGGAGGCGGCAGUGGGGAAUGUUGCGCAAUGGGCGGAAGCCUGACGCGUCCAUGCCGCGUGAAUGAUUAAGGUCGUAGGAAUGUAAAUUUCUUUCACCGGGGACGAUAAUGACGGUACCCGGAGAAGAAGCCCCGGCUAACUUCGUGCCAGCCGCCGCCGUAA